rnacentral:lncRNA from 1 species
UGCGCGUUCGCUAUGCGUGCCGACGUAGUGAAUAGAGACACAGAGAGAGAUGCUCCCUUACAAAACAAUCCUAAACACGGGUGUGAGUGUAUGACGUGACAGAUGGAACUAUAUCGCCUCGGUGGCCCCCCUGGUUUCCACCAGCUCCACCGUUGCCCGUUCCGUUUCUAAAAUGAGGGAUGGGCAAGUCCACAUGUUUCACUCACCCAAACAGCCCCGCCAAACCUACGAACGAACGUCAAAACGCUCGAAUCAUCCCGUAUCCACAAACACGAAUUCAACCGAAAACAAGCCUGUCCAAAAAACACCAACACAUCUGACUGAAUAGUCAUAAACUUCAUUGCUCGCUAGUACGUGUCAUUUCACACACAACAUGGUGGGGGGCCAGACAGCGCCUCUAACUAACCACCGCAACCGUAUCCCACAUCGCCCGCAGCUCUCACCAUAAACAACACAACGAUUUUGAGAACAGCGGGGAAAUAAACAGCCGCAUGGGGUAAUGCCAUGGGGCCAACCUAAAGCCUCAACUCUCCAGACGACCGAAACCCCUACCCAAGAUCUCCCACCGCCAUCACAACUACCAUCAUCAUCACCAUCGCGCCGUAAGGCCCCCAUAUCGUCUCAAUGCAAAGCCAAAACCGCCACAGCUACUGCCGUACUGCCCCCCCCUCCAUGGAUGCAUGGGCUGGAGCUUCCAUUGCACGGAGUUUUCGCUCCGCAGCUGAAUGCAGACAGUGUUGGAAAACGAAAAAACUAGACAAUUAUCAAUUUUCUACACAAGCACAUGCUGGAUGAUGGGUCUCAUUCUCUGAGAUUGUACAUCCUGCGAAUUGAUCUGAAUUGCUAAGCGCUCACAGGACUGACAACUGUCGGCAGGUCGGGGGACGGGGGCGGCUGCGAAGGAGUUGCGUGUGCUGUGUGUGAGCUGGUCCUGCAGGCUGUGAGACCUGUUCCUGGUCAAGUAAGUGAACUCGAGCACAAAUAAACACGCGAGCGCGUCCUUCACUGCUAGCAGGACCGCACUGAUUAUUUGGCACCCACAGUCCACAUCUCAAACGUUUUAACACAUUCUCACUCCGACUCCUUUUAUGCGCGAGAUGUGAAGACCCUCCCAAACCGACGAUGAAGGAAGAUUGAGAUGAAAUCGCUAAAUUUCACUUAGAAGUCGUACAGGUGCUACGAUAAACGGCAGGGGGACUGAAUGACUCGGCCGGCAGGUGGGGUCGGGGCGCCGGGGGGAUGCCGUGGCGUCCAAACACCCGUGCAACACAUUGUGAGGCACCGUAGGCAUCAUGUCAGCUGGCCGCUGGGUGUGCCAGCGGCGAGAAUUGGAGCGUGCGUCCUCCACUUGCCUGUGACCUGGCCUCUACCAGUCUUUGCAGCCCCGCUAGUUAGGUUGCGCGGAACCACUACCACAAGCAAAACAGCAUAUAGUGACACGAGCUCUGAUCUUUGGUAUUUCUUUCUGCGCAUAAAGACCAACCCGCCAUGGCUCCAGGACACGAUGCAGCUGUCCGGCGUGCAACCGUGCGCAAGGGAACGGCCAAAUCCGGGCAACCGGUGCAUUCAACCGACAAUUGAGCGAGUCAUCAAGAUCUAACGCUGGGUAUCCUGCGGGCAAGAAAAAUAAUAAACAAUAAUAAUAACGAUUAGAUGCUGUAAUAAUCUUUAUUGCUCUGCUGAACUUGUACUAGGGUGAUUUCUCACCUGAACGGACCGUGACGGUAACAAAGAUGCGACUUCUGUCCGAAGAAGUUGAUUCUCUGCCGAUACUGCAUACAAACAUUUCACUGCCCGCGCUAGCUGUGUUAAGAGCAGGGCAUUGUCCCGUCUGAGCGCUCCAACUUUGGUUUGCAGUUCAAAUAUUUGAUCCAUAACAGAAGGGGUGAACUGCAGAGAUUGCGUUGACGGAGUUGAGGGGAUGCAUAAAGGGAACAUGCAAGUCAGCCAUUAAACGAGCACUUGAGCCCGCCAAUUCACUGUCAACCAACCGCUUCAAUUACCUGGUGCACCAAGCCAUCGUCCACAUUCAUGCUGCAAAGAAGGCAUAAACAGGUAAUGAUCAGUACCCAAGUUCUCUGCGAGCGGUUGAAAUGAAGAACGACUCACCCGCCCCGUGGCUUCAGGUCAGCAGUAUGGUUUUGAAUAGACAUUGCUUUUAGUGCGAAUGUGUAGGACGUUGGUGCAUUCAAGAAUCGCGGCAGUCGCGAUGCCCAACGUCAAGUUAGGAGUGUACGCCAAGGAAAAGAAUGUAGUCAAGCAUGAUAAACAAUAACCUGUAAAGUAGGUGCAAUAUGGGAAACAUAUAGCAUUUUUGCUACAUGUGGGUCGUGGUAUAGGUCUACGGGAGUUGGGAAUCCGGCAUCCCGUGCAUACUGUGGGGUUGUUCCUCAGCACGUGUUAAGACGUUAAGAACACACAGCGCAAACAGCAAGCUGUUAAAUAUAAUGGCAUCUAUCUAAACUGACUCUUGUAGCAGAGCUUUGCGUACUGAACACAUCCCCUCAUGGUAUCGGGCCUGUCGCUUUCAAACGAAAGUACGCGAGAACUUGCUGCGCUCCAGCCACCUAUCGAUGCUCGAACUUAUCCGCGACAACAGAAAGGCAAAGCUAUUUGCCUGCCUUCUUCGGGAAGGCGGCUUGGCUACGAUGACAUGAUGGACAGAUCUGCUCCCCCCGAGCAGCUCCGCAACGUAAUACUACUUCCAGGC